GUAAAACAUAAAAAAUAGGAUACUAACACAUUUUGAAUAGCUCCAAAAUAUCAAAAAUUAAAAUUGAGGAUCUUAUAUGACACGUUUUGCUGAUUGUAACAAUAAGUAAUUGUAUUUGUAGGCGAAGAAACUAAGCGUAAACAAUAUGUAUAGAUAUAAAUACAAUAUUAAACAGUAAAAAGUUGAUAAGAACAUGAAAUAAAUAAACAACAGCAGACGAGCUUUGGAAAAACCAUGUAUUAUAGAAUAAUAAUAGAUUACAUUAUUCAUGGUAAUAAUGAUAUAAUAAACCAGAAUAUACCUGACAAUAAUAAUAAGAAUCUAAAAUAACACGAAUACUGAAUACAUAUUAUUAACAAUAAUGAGAGGAGGGACUUUGGGGAUGUUUGGCAAAGGAAGGGGCCAAGCCGCUCAGAAUUGUAUUCGAAAUAAAAGAAAAAAGAAGAGAAGACGAGAAGGAAGUAAAUAAAGUUUCUUAGAUAAAAUUAAUAAGAUUUUCUGAUUAAACGUAACAUUUUUGACACGUUUAGUCAUUUGAGCAUUUUAAAAUAAAAAUUGACUAAAUAACUCGACGCAAAACGAUUUCAGUUACGUUUGACAUCCGCUCCUCUUAUCGUAUGCAAAAAAAAAUUAUGUAUUUGUGAAUUAAUA